AAUCCUGAAGAUUUCUGAAAAGGCGUUCAGCUACACUGGCCUUCACAGAAUCCAAAUGUGUUUCUAGGAAUCUAUCAACUUGUAAAGCUGUGCAAACAGACUUACUUUAACUUCAGUAGGGGCAAUGGAAGUCUGUUGAAGCAGCAGUUUAGAAAUAGACUCGUAGUGAAAAAGUCAUUAUGAGUUUUCUAAAGGCUUCUUUUAUUGAGACAUGUUCCUUUUGGACUUUAUGAAAGGGAAAAUACUUUGCAUUUCUUUUCCUUUUCAAAUACAGGUCAGAGACAUUUGGAAACCCUCCAGUAUGAAUCAGAGGAACAAAAGUCCCUGAAGCAGGCCCCCUCCCCGGUUUUCGGCAAGCCAAAGAGUUCAGCAGCGCAGUGUGAUGCGUGUCGGCACAUCAGAUACAGGGCUGUGGGUGUUCAGAGGGCAAUCGGAGAUCAUACACGGCCUUGGCAAAACUUUGUGGAUCCUGUCUCAGCUUGACCUGAAACUGUAACCUUUUGGAACUGCAACAGAAGUCCCUUCCAGCUUAUUCCUGUCUGGGAGCAGCAGAAAGAUUGAAAUGCAUCAAAGAACCUUUUGAGGAAAGGAAUUAUCCCAGCCCUGAAACAAAGGACUGUUCUUUGACAUCCUUCAAAUAAAGAACUACAAUCUACAAACAUGGACAUCCUUCCUAGCCUAGCUCAAACUGAGAGAAAAGUGCUCUGCACAGGGUACAGGCAUCUUAUGGAAGCUAAGCUGACCUGGAUCUGGUCAAUGUCAAGCUGGAAGACCAAGAGAAAAACCCACAUCGCAUUUGUUUGUCUUCUAUGAUGGAAGAAUAAAAUCUGGAGAAAUCAGAUACUAUUAUCUCACUGGCAUAUAUUUCAGUGUAUGUAUCUGAAUUUUUAUUUGUAUCAUAUAAUGAUUUAUGUGUUAUAAAUAACAAACAUUUUUAAAUGCCAGAUUUUUAUCAUCAUUAUUACCAUCAUCAUCAUCACUACCACCACUUUAUGCCUGGCUGUUAAUGAAGUGUAUGGGAAAUAUGCCAAGGAAUACCCAAAAGAACAUCUGGCACACAUAAAGAAAAUGAUAAAGGGGGGAAGUCAAGCAUAAACAAGGAAACACCCAACUGAGGUUGAUUCAGAGGAGGGCCAACAAGUGAUAGCACUUGGUAAAAUGGCAUAAAUAGCUGGAGGCUGGAGCUGGUAUGGUAGUAACAUUUGUGGAACUGCUAUAGCCUGAAUCUCUGUUGGUUAAUUCUUGGAUGGAACUUUGUAUUUGGUGACUGAACUAUUUUUAGGACAACAACUUGAAUUGGUGAAAUUGCUUGGCUUUGACCCUUGGAAAUAAGUAUGGACUCUUCAUAUGGUUUGUCCUUGUUGGACUGCUUGCUGUGUAUGAUUACAGACUGCUUUUUGGCUAUGAGAUGGUGAGCAGCUGCAUUAACAGAGAUUCUGUGUCAGAUCCUUGACACCUUGUGGCAAAUGUGAUUUCCCUAGAUACUUCUACUUCUCUAAUAGAACCUGGGUCACACCAGCCUGCUGUCUUCACAGUUGCAUUUGUUUAUGGAAUUGAAAUAUACCAGUUUUAUAAUAUUCAUUAACACACUUCUCUGCAGUAGUGCAACAGCAAUGUUUUGACAAUCUAUACUUCUGCAAUCUGUCUUCUGCACAGCCUCCAUAACCCUGUCUUUCUGUCCUAUGCCUUAACUGGCAUGUUUUGGGGGUUUUGCUGUUUUAUUCUCUUUUUUACUGUAAUUUCACAAGCAGAAGCAGGGCAGACAUCUCAUUGUGUGAUAAAUGCAGCCAACAAUGCUAUUAUUCUGCUGAAAUUCUACUUUUCCAACUCCGUGUGAUAAAUUCCUCAGUACUGGGAAUUCAGCAAGUAGCCAGCUCUACAACUGAGAGGAAGAAUAAGGGCUUCUCUCAUUUUGGUUUCUUCUGAUGAUGUAGAGUAGAAUGGAGACGGAAGUUCAGUUUUCAUGAGCCAUUUCCAAGCAGGAGGCAAGUGCAAAUUUUCCAGUUUUUGUGACCUUAGCUCUGGGCAAGAGGAAAGACUAUGUGUUAAUCUCCAGCUAAACUAGUAGAGUAGCAACUUGUGACAAUUUCUAAAGCUUAAUUGAUGAGACAAGUAGGUAAAGGUAAAUGAGAAGGAAUGAUCCCUUUAAUUUAGCUGGCUCUGGGAAUCACCACUUCACCUAAGAUUUCUCUAUUAAUUUCCAAAAAGAAAUUUAUGUUUUCAUUUUGGUUUCUUCUGAUGAUGUUUUCUGUGUGUCCCUUUGAAUAAUAAGCUGUAAGCACCUGUGAUUUACAUGUAAUAAUGAAUAUUUAUUGAUGUUGUUCAAAAAUGGGGUUGGUAUCCCUCUGGUCAUGAGGUAAUGGAAAGUCCUUGUUUGGAGUCCCAUCUGUCUCCCCCUUGAAACGUCAAUAAGCAAGCUCACAGGUGGGACACAGGAAAUUCCAUAUCAGCCAGUAACCAGACAAACACCUGGAUUCAAGUAGUUGUCAAAAUCUUCAACUGGCAGCCAA
ensembl:lncRNA